GGGCGGGGUGGUGGGGUGGCGGGGUGACGGGGCACGAGGCCGGGAUUCCAACACAGGACUCCGAAGAGGUGCGCCUAUGCUUGGUUGGGGCUGAGGUCACCAAGAGUCCUCUCAGAGGGACGUUACUACACGCGCUGGCGAAGCCCAGGAGAAUUUAGAGUCGCGGUGCGAGGAUUACUAUCUGUGAAACGAGGGCUGCCUUUCCCGGCAGCCAGCUUUGUGCAGAGACGUCCCGGAGCCACGAGAGAGUAACGGCUAACCCGAGGGAGGGGGUGGCGAGGGUGAUUCCAGGCACUUUGUGGAAAAACGAGCUAUGGCUAAGGAAGAAUCCACUUUGAAGAGCAACCCCCGCCCCUGCCCGAUACGUUACUUCCGGGGCGGGGCGGGCAGAGGGGCCCGGAUGUGCCGCCGUUUUUUUCGUUUCUGAGGUGCCAGCGGUGUUCUUGGUCGCGUCAGCCUGCUGGCUUUUCGCUUUCCUGGACGCUUCAGGGCUCCGCGGCCUGAGCUGGACUGGAGGAUCCGCGUCACUCUCGCCCUCUUGCUUUCCGCGCUCUGACCCACUCCCGCCUCCUGAGGGCACGACUUGGAGGAGCGCGGGCGGCGGGGCGUGAGCGAGCAGCCUCUGCCGCCAUCUUAGAGAAGGCGAGCGUGGGGUGCGCGUGGGCGCGAGCCGGCCUCCCGCGGCCCAGCCGCAGAGUGGCGCGGAGAGGUGAGGUCCAAGCGUGUCCGGCCCUCACUCCAGAACGAAAAGGCGAGGUCAUCACUCCCUGCUUACAGGGCUGGGAGUAAUUGCCUGUAGAGAGCAAGAAAUUGCCCUGCCCGUAGGCUGAGAAAACGCAUUUGGCGAGUCUCCUCGACGGAGGGCGUAGAGGGGCGGGGUAACUUACACCUGCCUGCGACACCAUCCUGUUAGUUUCUAGUUUUGUUAGUUUAAGCCCUUACGUGCUCAUCCCUUUUUAAAGACUGAACCGGGGCUUGAGCUCAAGCCUGGAUCCUGUUACCUACCUUGCCCUCAGCCCCACUUACUCAGCCUACUGUAGCUGAGGGUCUUGCUAUUUCCGGCUGAAUUGAGAUAGACGAAUGGCUUCCGUCUGUGUUGAAUGUUGUUAACAUAACCUGCCAUCUCAAACGCGUUGAUAAGGCACAGCGUCUAAUGCCUCAUGGUUCGAACAGACUCCUCCAGUUCUCUGCAGACUCGAGUCCAGCAGGCACAUGCCCCCAGGCCCUGCCAAUACCCAAAAUCUCCCAACAUUUGCCACUAAGCUGCUUAUCCAAGACAAUGACAUAUUAGAAGUAGAGCGUUAGGAAGUCAGUUCUCCUCUUGAGGCUUAAUUUUUGCACCUGCAAAUAAGGGAUUUGGGCCGGCAUGAGUUCACCAGCGCAUACUGAGCUCAUUCUGUUUCCCAGAACUGGUACGAAGUGUUUUACAUACAUUAUCCCAUGUAAUCCCAACAACACCAGUGCUAGGUAAUACUCGCAUUUGAGGAAAAACAGGCACAGAGUCCUAAAAGUCCGUGGUUUUAGUUUAUGACUGUGUGCCAUGGAAUACAAAGUUACCGUGUUUUGGGAACCAGCUACUUUGGGUACAUUUUAAAAAGUAAUAUUGUUGCCUUUGAUAAUCUCACGAGUUAGAGAUGUUCUUACAAUAAUAAUGUGGUGCAGUAGUGAACAGUGGUGAGCCUAGUGCUAAAGCUAAAAGGUUUCCUGACCCACUGUGGUAGUAAGGGUUUCUAGUCAGAGAAAUGACUGUGGUGACCAAUGUGGGUCCCAUUUUACAUACAGAUGGGAAAUGAGGUACAUAUUCCAGCUUUAUGAAAACUGGUAGUCCUUAUGAAUAUUCACUUUAUUACAUUUACUGAUAAAGUCCUCAUUCCUGUAAUGGUGUGUAGGGCUGUAUGCUCACACUACAUGGCUCUCUGAAUCGCUUUGUUUUUUAAGUUCCAUUGUCUGUUACAGUUUGCCUUUCCCUUCUUUCAUUGUCAGCUGUUGCUUUUUACUGCUGUCAGUGAACAUAGUUCUAUUAUCCUCACCACCCUUUUAAUUUACUACUCUUAAUCUACAGGCAAGAAAACCAUAUAGUGAAGCUUGUGCAAAACUGUAUCUCAAGAGUAUAAAUAGGUGCUGUGAGGGACUAUUAAAAAAAUAAGUGCAACCCUUGUGCUAGAACAUUAUAAAAUUAGUUUUAAGCUGCUUAAUUUUUUUUUUAAAUGCCUUAUAGGUUUGAUCUUUUCCAGAGUUAGGAAUAGAUACAUUUCCUGAAGUUAAUUCUUGAAAAUUUAGAAUUUAAAAUAUUUUCCCAUGUUUUAGGAUACUUGAUGAUGAUACAAUUCUAACCAUAUUGAGGUUAAUAUUUGAAAUGUUCAGUGUUCCUGCCUGAUAGGGUUUGGCUUUGUAUCUCAGCUCUCAUGUCAAAUCGUAAUCUGCAUGUGUUGAAGGAGGGGCCCCGUGGGAGAUAAUUGGGUCCUGGGGGCAAUUUCUGAUGGUUUAGCACCAUCCCACUAGUGCUGUUUCAUGAAUGAGUUCUCAAGAGAUCUGGUUGUUUAAAAGUAUUUAUCACUACCCUUCUCUCACCUGCCACAAUGUGAAGAAAGUCCUUGUACCUUUCACCUUCCGCCAUGAUCGUAAGUUUCCCUGAGGCCUCCCAGUCAUGCUUACUCUUAAGCCUGCAGAACUGUGAGUCAGUUAAACCUCUUUUCUUCAUAAAUUACCCAGUCUCAGGUAGUUCUUUAUAGCAGUGUGAAAACGUACAAAUACACCACCACACUGAAUCAAAUAAGCAAGAUACCAAUUCAAGCUAUAGAAUCGAAAAUACGGAUUUUACAUGCAUGUAUUGUUUAAUACUGUUAAUUAGUUACAAAAGAACCCAGAAACCUUUUAACCCAUGGUCAUUGCUUGUAGGAUUUUUUUUAACGAUUUUUUAAAGCUGCAUAGAUGCAUCUUCACAUAUGUUGCAUGUAUGUUUCAGAAAUAAAUUAUUUGCUAAGAGGUCACAGAAAAGACCCAGUAUUGGACCACUCUAACAGUUAUCACCUAUUAUAGUACAAAACACACUGUGUGAUCGAUAAAAAAAAGGUACAUAACCAAGCUAAAGUGGGGCAGACAUAGUUCCUGAAUGUAAAAUGUUCAACAUUAUCUAUUAAUUUAGAAUGUUGUGUUUUAACUUUGGAUUCUUUUCUUUCUCUCCGAUCAGAAUGAUUGGAAGAGACAGGGAAUAACACAUUUGUAUCUGAACUACUUGAAGAAAAAUCUGAAGCCCUGAUUAUAUAUAUAGAUUGUGCAUUUCGCGGGGGCAUCCAGUAGUUCAAGUUUACAAUGAGCUGUGAUCGUGCCGCUGCACUCUACCCUGGGUGACAGAGUGGGACCCUGUGCCACAGAGUGAAACCCUGUCUCAAAAAAAAAAAAAAAAAACAACUAUGUAAAUCCAAGGGUUUUUCUGCUCAUGUGGACAAGCACAUUCCUAACUGAUGCAACUUUUAGAACUUUUUUGACCAUAAGAAGGCAUCACUUUUAUAGUAAUAAAAUAAUUGUUUCAAGUGAAAAGAACAUGCACAAGAGCCCAAGCUUUGGAGUCAGACGAGACUAAAUUGGAAUCCUGAUCUUCCUGCAUACUAAUUAUCUGACUUUUGGCAGCUUACUAUCUCCAAGUCUCAACUUCCUCAUCUGUAAAACAGGUGCUUCCAAAAAGAAGCUUACAUAUCCAGCCCACACCUCUAUUCCAGGCUUCAGAAUCAUCAUUCCUUUGGUGGUCCAUUGUUGCUACAUGUGUACUUUAUUGACUGAGUUUUUGAAAGAUGCAUCUAUCAUUAAAGAUCUUUGGGAAUAUGUUCAAAAAUGUUAA